UCCCCGGUUCUUAGAGAAACAGGGCGAAUACACGUGUGUUUGGGCACAUGUUUUAUUAAACGAUAUUAUUUAAUUAUUUUUUCUGUUAAAUUGACCGAUAAAACGCCAAAGAUGUCUGCGUCAAGGAACAAGGAAAUACACACAGACAGUGGAGACGGUGAAGAGGAUCCUCCCGUGGUGAGUCGCACACGGAGCGGCCGCAGAGUUCGAGCGCCCGCGGCGCUGCUGGACUCCGGCGCACCAACCACCAAAACUCCCGUCCGCCGCACCAGAAAGUCUGUUAUCCGAGAAGAUCCCGCAGAGAACACGGAAUCCCCGCCUGUAAAACCUGCCGAUGUAUCUACAGCAGACACAACUGACCAGUGCACCUCGAGUACAGAAACAGCGUGUCCAGAUUUAACAGACGCAACUGCAUCAGCAACAACAGAGGAAAAGCAAAUCGAUUUAAUAGGUUCAGAUCAGAACACUGAGAAGGAGAACGUGGUGAAUAACACCGACACAGGGUCCACAUGUUCCACUCACACUGAGAAAAAGGCCCAAAAAAGGACUCGCUCAGAAUCAAGUGAUAAGCUAAGUAAGAUAGUUCCUCUUGGGAAACCCAAAUCUGGAAGAGUGUGGAAAGACCGUAACAAGCAAAGGUUCUCUGCUCUGUUGAGAGACAAACCUCUGCGUACAUCAUGGGAAAAGAAGAUGGAGGCCAAGAGAGAAAAGCAGCUAGUGAAGCAGUACCACCAGCAGCUCAAAGACGAGAAGGCCAAGGAGAAAGAGGACAAGAAGAAGAGGAGAGCAGAAAAUCUGCGAAGACGAGCAGAAAAUGAGAGAAAAGCAGAGAUUGUGCAAGUGAUUAAGAAUACUGCAAAGAUCAAGAGAAUGAAGAAGAAACAGCUGAGGAAGAUUGAAAAGAGAGACACGCUCUCAGUGCUGCAGAAAACGCCACCUAGUGUCAAGAAAUGAGCAGGGAAAACAAACAGCAGCUCAUAGGGGGUUUAGUUGAUGUGAGAAUAUCUUUACAACUAAACUUGCUGUUAUUGAUAUACACCGUGUGCCCGUCUGUACCACUGGCACGCUGACCUCUGUCUGGCAAAGACAAGGUUGGAAAUAAACCCUGCAGGAAGAUGGUUCUCCAGGAGUAGGAAUGAGUGACUAUGUUCUGAUGUAAUACGUGUGUACAGCAAAUUGAAAUGCAAAUAAAUGUUCAUUUCAUUGACAUCUGUCACCCAACACAUCUUUGUGUGAACUUAUGUAAUAGUAACAUGAUUUUUUUCCUCUCAAAGUGUCAUUUCUCAGAAACUGCUUUGGGACUUUCCACUUUGGCAAAUGUUUAUUGUUUAAUGGUUUAAUAUUUAUCUAGUUAAUGUGCUUAUUCUUUUCCUUUCGAUUUAUUCUGGGUCUUUUUACAUUGCGUGGUGGAAUAAGUAAAAUUACCGUGUGAACAACUUUGAAUUUGUGAGAUAGAAGUCGUAAAUGUUGAUUGCAGGAGUCUGUUUCAUGGUAAAUCAGGUACUUUCCUCAUAUUGGCUGUAAAGCUAGGACUAGCUUGAGCGAACAACAAGCCAAGGAACAAGUUGCUUUAAGGAUGGACAGCUUUCAAGACGGUGUGACUGAAGAGGAUUAUGAUCCACUGCAAGAGCUUUGUGGACACGGGCAGUGUGUAAAUGGAGACUUCGGAGACACUCUGUCCGUUCCCUUGCAUCAGGCAUUUGAAAACACCACCAACAGCAAUCUCAAGGUUCAUCAGCCAGUUCACCCAUUUUCUGGAUACACUAAUGUUGAUGAACCAAAGUUCCUCUGAAGGUGAAGAGCACCGAUACAGUUUUGGGAAAUGCAGCAGAAGUUCCUGAAGAUGAGAUCAGAGCUUGUAGGAACUGAAUAUCGCUUGCAACGGAAAACCUGUCCAGCCUGGAGUCGUGUUCAUCACCUACCAGAAAUGUUACUAUAGGUUAAAUGGGAAUCCGUUUAUUGCUUUUUAUUACUCUUUAUAGCUUAUUGCUUUAUCUCUUCAUAUCUUUAUUCUGGUUUCCUUUAUCAUUAUGUUGAGGGACAAUCACAAGGCUGGGCUUUAAAUCUGCACAUUUUCUGUGACCGUUAGCUAAUUAGUGUCAUGUAGCCUACAUAAAAAAGCCACAAUAAGCAAUAAACAAUAUUUAAGUAGCAAUAAUGAGAUAAGUCUACUUGCAUCUAAUUACCUUAACUUAAAUGGUUAAGUUCAUUCUAUAUGAACAUCAAGUUAAGUGAACUUAAUUACACAAGUUUUGGAGACCCCAUUACUCAAUACAAUUAAGGGAAUGAGUUUACUUUGAGGAAAGUCAACUUAAUAGGGUUUUCAAUGCAUGAGAUGAACGACGAUAUAACCAAGAAGGCACAAAGCGACAGCUUCAUUUAUCAUUAUGUGAACUAUCAUAGCUGCUUGACCAUUGUUGUAAGCUUUAUGAGAUUUAAUGUAUUUUUUAUUUAAUUUAGACAACAAUUUGUCAUAGUAGAUUUCAUUGACUGCGUUUCUUUAACUGAUGGUCGAAGGGACAUUCGUUGCAAUAAUGUUAAUUGAAAAUAUGAAAAGAGAAACAAUUAAAAAAUGAAACUAUAAUGUGAAAUGUGCAUAAUCAUAAUGUACAGCAAUUGUCAUGUUUCACCUAUUCUGCAUCAUCUACACUU